rnacentral:rRNA from 1 species
CCUACGGGGGGCAGCAGUAGGGAAUCUUUCACAAUGGGCGAAAGCCUGAUGGAGCAACGCCGCGUGCAGGAUGAAGGCCUUCGGGUUGUAAACUGCUUUUAUAAGCGAGAAAUAUGAUGGUAACUUAUGAAUAAGGAUCGGCUAACUACGUGCCAGCAGCCGCGGUCAUACGUAGGAUCCGAGCAUUAUCCGGAGUGACUGGGUGUAAAGAGUUGCGUAGGUGGCAUAAUAAGUAGCUAGUGAAAUCUGGUGGCUCAACCAUUCAGACUAUUAGCUAAACUGUUAAGCUCGAGACCGUUAGGGGUAACUGGAAUUUCUAGUGUAGGAGUGAAAUCCGUAUAUAUUAGAAGGAACACCAAUAGCGUAGGCAGGUUGCUGGGACGGUUCUGACACUAAGGCACGAAAGCGUAGGGAGCAAACGGGAUUAGAUACCCGUGUAGUC